GGAGGGUGCAAGCGUUAAUCGGAAUUACUGGGCGUAAAGCGCACGCAGGCGGUUGGAUAAGUUAGAUGUGAAAGCCCCGGGCUCAACCUGGGAAUUGCAUUUAAAACUGUCCAGCUAGAGUCUUGUAGAGGGGGGUAGAAUUCCAGGUGUAGCGGUGAAAUGCGUAGAGAUCUGGAGGAAUACCGGUGGCGAAGGCGGCCCCCUGGACAAAGACUGACGCUCAGGUGCGAAAGCGUGGGGAGCAAACAGGAUUAGAUACCCUGGUAGUCCACGCCGUAAACGAUGUCGAUUUGGAGGCUGUGUCCUUGAGACGUGGCUUCCGGAGCUAACGCGUUAAAUCGACCGCCUGGGGAGUACGGCCGCAAGGUUA
rnacentral:rRNA from 2 species